UACGGAGGGGACUAGCGUUGUUCGGAAUUACUGGGCGUAAAGCGCACGUAGGCGGGUCGUUAAGUCAGGGGUGAAAUCCCAGAGCUCAACUCUGGAACUGCCUUUGAUACUGGCGACCUAGAGUUCGGAAGAGGUUAGUAGAAUUCCCAGUGUAGAGGUGAAAUUCGUAGAUAUUGGGAAGAACACCAGUGGCGAAGGCGGCUAACUGGUCCGAUACUGACGCUGAGGUGCGAAAGCGUGGGGAGCAAACAGG
rnacentral:rRNA from 1 species